AGAGGAGGAAGCAGGCUCCCUGCUGAGCAGAGCGCCCGAUGUGGGGCUCGAUCCCAAGACCCUGAGAUCAUGACCUGAGCCAAAGGCAGAAGCUUAACCCUCUGAGCCACCCAGGUGCCCCAAGAUUGUUGAUUUUUGUGUGUAAAUUUUUGUGCUGACACCUUACUGAAUUGUUUAUACUUCCUUUUUUUUUUUUUUAAAGAAUUUAUUUAUUUAUUUGACAGAGAGAGAUCACAAGUAGGCAGAGAGGCAGGCAGAGAGAGAGAGGAGGAAGCAGGCUUCCCGCUGAGCAGAGGUCCCGUUGCGGAACUCGAUCCCAGGACCCUGGGAUCAUGACCUGAGCCGAAGGCAGUGGCUUAACCCACUGAGCCACCCAGGCGCCCCAACUUCUUUUCCAAUUUAUAUAUCUCUAUUUGUUUUCCUUUCUCUGACUGCAUUGGGUAAUUCCUCCAAUGUAAUGUUGAAAAGUAGUAAAAAUAGAAAGCAUCCUUGCCUUGAUCCUGACCUUUAUUGGAAUUCUUGCAUUGUUUCCCCAUUAAGUAAGAUGUGUCCCUAACAUGGUUAUGUAUGUGUGUAUAUAUAUGUAAUAUGUAUAUGAUAUAAGAUGAUAUAAUUUAAUGUACACACAUGGUAAGGUUAGAGAUAUAGUUACCAAUUACCAUUUUAAUUAUUUUUAAAAAUCUGGAAUGUGUUUUGAAUGUUAUUGGAGGGUCUUUUUGCACAUAGGGAAAAAAGUCAUGCUUUUCUUCUUAGAUCUACUGAUUCAGUAAAUUAUACUAUUGUAAUUCCUAAUAUUGCAUUCUGCAUAUCUGGGAUAAAUUCCACUUAGUUGUGAUGUUAUUUACAUAAUGUGUUGUUGGAUUUUCUUUGCUGACAUUUAAUUUUUUUUUUUUUUACCUCAGUAAAACAAUUGUAGGUUUAGAGAAAAAUUCCACAGAAUAGAGGGAGGACCUAUGUGCCCUCUCUCUCGUUCCCCCUUUCUGUUAUUAACGUUUUGCAUUAGUGUGGUAGAUUUGUUAAAAUUGAUGAACUAAUGUUGAUAUAUUAAUAUUAACUAAAGUCUAUAGUUUACUUUAGGGUUUACUCUAUAUUUUAUAGUUCUGUGCAUUUUGACAAAUGCAUAAUUUCAUCUUUCCACCAUUAGAGUAUCGUAUAGAAUAAUUUCACUGCCUUGAAAAAUGCCCUGUGCUUGACCUAUUAAUCCCAUCUCCCUCAUCAAACUGCUGGUAACCACUGAUCUUUUAACUCUGUCCAUCGUUUGCCUUUUCUAGAGUGAUAUAUAAUUGGAAUCUUAGAGUAUGUAGCCUUUCCAACUGAUUUCUUUGACUUAACAAUUUGAAUCUAAGAUUCCUCCAUAGUUUUUCAUGGCUUGAUAGCUCAUUUCUUAAAUCACUCAGUAAUACAGGCAUACUUUUUUUCCUCUAAGAUUUUAUUUAUUUAUUUGGCAGAGAGAGAGAGCCAUAAAGCACAAGCUGGGGAUGGGAGGAAUGGCAGAAGGGAGAGGGAGAAGCAGGCUCCCUGCUAACCAGGGAGCCCAAUGCAGGGCUAGAUCCCAGGCUCCUGGGAUCAUGAACUGAGGUGAAGGCAGACAUUUAACUGACUGAGCCACUCAGUUGCCCCCAAGCAUACUUUGUUUUAUUGUACUUUGCUUUAUUGUACUUCACAGAUAAUGGUUUUUUUUUCCCUAACAAAUUGAAGGAUUGUGUCAACCCUUCAUUGAGCAAGUCUACUACCACCAUUUACCCAUCAGCAUUAACUCCCUUUGCUUCUGUGUCAUAUUUUGGUAAUUCUCAGAACAUUUCAAAUUUUUAUUUUUAUUGUAUUCGUUAUAGUGAUCUGUGAUCUGUGAUCUUUGAUGUUACUACUGUUAUUGGGGGCACCAUGAAUUGUCCCAUAUAAGAUAGUAAACCAGGAGUGUCUGGAUGGCUCAGUCAGUUAAGUGUCUAAUUCUUGAUCUUGGCUUGGGUCUUGAUCUCAGGGUCAUGAGCUCAAGCCCCACGUUGGGGUCCAUGCUGGGCAUGGGGCCUACUUAAAGAAAAAAAUAUAUAUGUAUACAUAUACAUAUAUAUGUAUGUAUGUAUAUAUAUGUAUAUAUAUAUUUAUUUAUUUAGACAGUGAACUUAAUCAGUAAAUGUUGGGUGUGUUCUUGACUCCACUGACUGGCUGUUCCCCCAUCUCAAUCCCUCUCCUUGGGGCUCCCUAUUACUUGAGGAACAACAAUAUUGAAAUAACCCUACAAUGGCCUCUAAGUGUUCAUUUAACAAAAGAAGUAAAGCUAAAAAUGACUAAGCUUAGCUAGGAAGGCAUGUUGAUAAUCAAGAUUGGUUGAAAGCUAGGCCUCUUGGACCAAACAACCAAGUUGUGUGUGAAUGCAAAGGAAUAGUUCUUGAAGGAAAUUGAAAGGUCUAUUCCAGGCUGGUCUGAAGGUAGUGAGUUAUCUCAACUGAUUGUUCACAGUCAGUUACAGAAAGUUUUACUCCAGUGUACACAUGAAUGAUAAAGUGAAGCAGCCUUGUUGAUAUGGAGAAGGUUUUAGUGGUCUAGAUAGAAGAUCAAAUAAGCUACAACAUUCCCUUAAGCCAAAACCUAAUCCAGAGGAAGACCUUAACUUUCUUCAAUUCUAUGAAGGCUGAGAGAGGUGAGGAAGCUGCAAAAGAAAACUUUGAACUUAGCAGAGGUUUGUUCAUGAGGUUUAAGGAAAGAUGCCAUCUCCAUGACUUAAAGGUACAAGUACACAUGAAUAGACAUUUUACUGCAGGAGACAUGCAGAUGGCCAACAGACACGUGAAAAGAUGCUCAACGUCACUAAUCCUCAUGGAAAUACAAAUCAAAACUACAAUGAGAUAUCACUUCAUACCUCUUAGGAUGGCUAAAAUCAACAGCACAAGAAACAACAGAUGUUGGCAAGGAUGUGGAGAAAGGUGAACACUCUUUCACUGUUGGUGGGAAUGCAAACUGGUACAGCCACUGUGGAAAACAGUAUGGAGGUUCCUCAAAAAGUUAAAAACAAACUAACAGACAAAAACCAGAAUUACUUGAGGUUCCUGGGUGACUCAGUUGGUUAAGACUAUGACUCUUGAUUUCAGCUCAGGUCAUGAUCUCAGGUUUGUGAGAUUGAGCCCCAUGUCAUGCUCCACCAUAGGUGUCGACCCUGCUUAGGAGUUUCUCUCCUCUCUUCCUCUCCUUCUGCCCCUCCCCCAUCUCUCUCUCUUUUGGGGUUGGGGGGGAUAAAUAUAUAUAGUGCCUGGGUGGCUCAGUCAGUAAGAACCUGACUCUUGGUUUCAGCUCAGUUCAUGAUCUCAUGAUCAUAAAAUGGAACGCUGUGCUGGGCUCCAAGCUCAGCAGGGAGUCUGCUCUCUCUCUCUCUCUCUCUCUCUCUCUGCCCUUCCCCCUGCUUGUGUGUUCUCUCAAAUGAAUACAUCUUAAAAAAAAGAAAGAAAAAGAAAUACCUUAUGAUCCAGGAGUUGGAUCUACUAAGCAUUUAUCUAAAGAAUACAAAAAUGAUAAUUCAAAUGAUAAUUGGGGAUACAUGCACCCCAAUGUUUAGAGCAGCAUUAUCUGUAAUAGUCAAACUAUGGAAACAGCACAAGUGUCCAUCAACUGUUCAAUAGAUAAAGAAGAUAUUGGAUAUAUACACAAUGGAAUAUUACUCAGCCAUAAAAAAGAAUGAAACCUUGCCAUUUGGAAUGAUGUGGAUGGAGCUAGAGAGUAUUAGGGUAAGCUCCAUAAGCCAGAGAAAGACAAAUGCCAUAUGAUUGCACUCUCAUGUGGAUUCUAAGAGGCAAAACAAAUGAGCAAAGGGAAAAAGAGGCAAAUUAAGAAAUAGACUAAACUAUAGAGAAUAGACUGAUGACUAACAGAGGGGAGGUGGGUGGGGGAAUGGGUUAAAUGGAUGAUGGGGAUUAAGGAAUGCAUUUGUCAUGAGCAUUCAGUGUUCUAAGGAAGUGUUGAAUCACUAUAUUGUAUACCUUAAACUUACACUGUAUGUUAACUAACUGGAAUUUAAAUAAAAACUUAAAAAACAGUGCAAGUGGAAGCAGUAAAUUUCCAGAAGAUCUUGCUAAGAUAAUUCAUGAAGAUGGUACACCGAAGAACUUAUUUUCAAUGUAGACAGAAUAGCCUUUUGUUGGAAAAAGAUGCCACUUUCCCAGCUACAGAGGAGAAGUCAAAGCCUGGCUUCAAAGCACAGGCUUACUCUCUCAAUAGGUGUUAAUGCAGCUGGUGACUUUUUUUUUUCCUUUCUAGAAAAUUUAUUUAAAUUCAGUUAGCCAACACAUAGUACAUAUUUAAGUUGAAGCCAAUGCUCAUUUACAAUUCCAAAAAUCCGAGGGCCCUUAAGAAUAAUUGUAAAUCUACUCUGCCUGUGCUCUGUAAAUGGAAAAACAGAGCCUGGAUGACAGAACAUCUGGUUAUAACGUGGUUUAUUGAAUAUUUUAGCCCACUGUUGAGAUGUACUCCUCAGGAAAAAAAAAAAAAAGAUCUUUUCAAAAUAAUGCUUCUCAUUGACAAUGCACCUCAUAACCCAAGAACUCUUAUGGAGAUGUACAGAUGUCUCAUGCCUGCUGACACAGCAUCCAUUCUGCAGCCAAUGGAUCAAGGAGUCAUUUUGACUUUCAAGUCUUGUUAUUGAAGAAAUACAUUUUGUAAGGUUACAGCUGCCCCAGAUGAUGAUUCAUUGGAUAGAUCUGGGCAAAGUAAAUUUGAAAACCUUCUGGAAAGGAUUCACCAUUCUGGAUACCAUUAAAAACAUUUAGAUUCAUGGGAAGAGGUCAAACUAUCAACAUUAAUAGAGAUUUUGAAGAAGCUGAUUACCACCUUCAUGGCUGGCUUUGAGGGGUACUUCAGUGGAAGAAAUAACUGCAAGUGUGAUGGCUAUCACAAGAGAAUUAGAAUGAGAAGUGGAGCCUGAAGGUGUGACUGAAUUGGCACAAUCUCUUGAUAAAAAUUUUAAUAGUUGAGGACUUGCUUCUUAUGGGUGAGCAAACACAAUGGUUUCUUAAGGUGGAAACUACUCCCAGUGAAAAUGCUGUGAAAGUUGAAAUGACAACAAAGAAUUAGAAUGUUAGAUAAACUUAGUUGAUAAAGCAGCAGCAGGGUUUGAGAGGGUUGACUGAUUGACUCCAGUUUUGAAAGAAGUUCCUGGGUAAAAUGCUAUCAAACAGAAUCACGUGUAGAGUAUCUGGGUGGCUCAGUUGGUUAAGAUCUGAUUCUUGCUUUUGGUUCAGAUCAUGAUCUCACAGUGGUGGGAUCGAGUCCUGUGUCAUGUUUCAUGCACAGCAGGGUGUCUUCUUGGGAUUCUGUCUCUCCUCCACCUGCCUCUUCCCCCACCAACUCAAAUACAUAAAUUACUCUUUAAAAAAACAGCAUUACAUACUGCAGAGAAAUUCUUGUGAAAGGGAGAGUCCAUUGAUGGAACAAACUUCACUUUUGUCUUAUUUUCAGAAAUUGCCAUAGUGACCCCAACCCUCAGCAACCACUAAUCUAAUCAGUCAGCAGCAUUGAAGCGAAAUGUUCCACCAGCAAAAACGAUUAAAAUUUGGUGAAAGCUCAGAUGAUGAUUAGCAUCUUUUUUUAAAAAAGAUUUUUAUUUAUUUAUUUAUUUGACAGACAGAGAUCACAAGCAUGCAGAGAGGCAGGCAGAGAGAGAGAGGGAAGCAGGCUCCCCGUCAAGCAGAGAGCCCGAUGUGGGGCUCAAUCCCAGGACCCUGGGGUCAUGACCUGAGCCAAAGGCAGAGGCCUUAACCCACUGAGCCACCCAGGCACCCCUAUUAGCAUCUUUUUGCAAUGAAAUAUAUUUACAUUAAAAUAUGUAUAUAUUUUUUUACAUAUAAUGCUAUUGCAUAUUUAAUAGACUAUAGUAUAAUGUAAAUAUAACUUUUAUAUGCACUGGGGAAUCAGAAAAUUCAUUUCACUCACUUUAUUGUGGUGGUCUGGAACCAAACCCACAAUAUAUAUAUUUUUUAAUUUAAUUUCUUUUUAGUGUAACAGACUUCAUUGUUUAUGCACCACAUCCAGUGCUCCAUGCAGUACGUGCCCUCCAUAAUACCCAUAAUACCCACCACCAAUCUCCCCCAACCUCCCACCCCCCGCUCCUUCAAAACCCUCAGGUUGAUUUUCAGUGUCCAUAGUCUCUCAUGGUUCAUCUCCCCUUCCAAUUUCCCUCAACUCCCUUCUCCUCUCCAUCUCACCAUACCUUCCAUGUUAUUUGUUAUGCUCGACAAAUAAGUGAAAUCAUAUGAUAAUUGACUCUCUCUGCUUGACUUAUUUCACUCCGCAUAAUCUCUUCCAGUCCGUCCAUGUUGAUACAAAAGUUGGGUAUUCAUCCUUUCUGAUGGAGGCAUAAUAUUCCAUAGUGUAUAUGGACCACAUCUUUAUCCAUUGUCCACUGAAGGGCAUCUUGGUUCUUUCCACACUUUGGCGACCGUGGCCAUAGCUGCUAUGAACAUUGGGGUACAGAUGGCCCUUCUUUUCACUACAUCUGUAUCUUUGGGGUAAAUACCCAGUAGUGCAAUGGCAGGUUCAAAGGGAAGCUCUAUUUUUAAUUUCUUAAGGAAUCUCCACACCGUUCUCCAAAUUGGCUGCACCAACUUGCAUUCCCACCAACAGUGUAAGAGGGUUCCCCUUUCUCCACAUCCUCUUCAACACACGUUGUUUCCUGUCUUGCAAAUUUUGGCCAUUCUAACUGAUGUAAGGUGGUAUUUCAAUGUGGUUUUGAUUUGAAUCUCCCUGAUAGCUAGUGAUGAUGAAUAUUUUUUCAUGUGUCUGAUAGCCAUUUGUAUGUCUUCAUUGGAGAAGUGUCUGUUCAUGUCUUCUGCCCAUUUUUUUUUUUUUUGACAUGGUUAUCUGUUUUGUGUGUGUUGAGUUUGAGAAGUUCUUUAUUGAUCCUGGAUAUCAGUCUUUUGUCUGUACUGUCAUUUGCAAAUAUCUUCUCCCUUUCCGUGGGUUGCCUCUUUGUUUUGUUGACUGUUUCCUUUGCUGUGCAGAAGCUUUUGAUCUUGAAGUCCCAAAAGUUCAUUUUUGCUCUUGUUUCUUUGGCCUUUGUAGACAUAUCUUAAAAGAAGUUGCUGUGGCUGAUAUUGAAGAGGUUACUGCCUAUGUUCUCCUCUAUGAUUCUGAUGGAUUCCUGUCUCACGUUGAGGUCUUUUAUCCAUUUCGAGUUUAUCUUUGUGUAUGGUGUAAGAGAAUGGUUGAGUUUCAUUCUUCUACACAUAGCUGUCCAAUUUUCCCAGCACCAUUUAUUGAAGAAGAAGAGGCUGUCUUUUUUUCACUGGAUUUUUUUUUCCUGCUUUGUCAAAGAUUAUUUGACCAUAUAAUUGAGGGUCCAUAUCUGGGCUCUCUACUCUGUUCCACUGGUCUAUGUAUCUGUUUUUAUUCCAGUACCAUGCUGUCUUGGUGAUCACAGCUUUGUAGUAAAGCUUGAAAUCAGGUAACGUGAUGCUGCCAGUUUUGUUUUUCUUUUUCAACAUUUCCUUCGCAAUUCAGGGUCUCUUCUGAUUCCAUACAAAUUUUAGGAUUAUUUGCUCCAGCUCUUUGAAAAGUACCAGUGGAAUUUUGAUCAGAAUGGCAUUAACAGUAUAGAUUGCUCUAGGCAGUAUAGACAUCUUAACAAACCCACAAUAUUUUCAAAGUAUUUGACCAAUGUACCAUGCAUUGUUUAUCCAUUCAUUUAUUGAAAGCUAUCUAGAUUGCUUUCAAUUUUGGACCUUUAUGAAUAAAGCUACCAUAAAUAUUUGUAUGCAGGUUUUUUUGUGGACAAAGUUUUCAACUUAUUAGGUAAGUAUCUAGAACCACAAUUGCUGGAUCAUAUGGUAAACCCAUGAUUAGUCUUCUAAAUAACUGCCAAAACGUUUUCCAAGGUGGUGUUCUCACCAACAAUGAAAGAGAGUUCCUGUUGCUCCACAACCUUGGCAGCAUUUGGUAUUGUCAGUGUUUUGGAUUUUGGUCACCCUGAUUGGUGUAUAGUGAUAUCUCAUUGUUUUAACUUUCAGUUCCUGAAUAUCUUGUGAUCUGUUCAUAUGUUCUUUUGUUGUUAUUGUUGGCCAUUUGUAUACCCUCUUUUUUUUUGGUGAGAGAAAUGUGUGUUUUGAUCUAUGGUAUCAUUUUUUAAAAGAUUUUAUUUAUUUAUUUGACAGAGAUCACAAGUAGGCAGAGAGGCAGGCAGAGAGAGAGAGAGAGGAAAGAAAGCUCCCUGCUGAUCAGAGAGCCCAAUAUGGGGCUCGAUCCCAGGAUCCUGGGAUCAUGACCUGAGCUGAAGGCAGAGGCUUUAACCCACUGAGUCACCCAGAGACCCCUAUAAUUUUGCGUUUUACAUUUAUAUCUAUUGAUUCAUUCUGGGGAUUAAGUUUUAUGAGAUGUGUAAGGUAUGCAUGUAUAUUCUUUUUGUUUGCUUGUUUGUUUACAUUCAGAUGUCUACUUGCUCCAGCAUGGACGUUUGCUGCAAAGAUUCCCAAUUCCAUUGAUUUGCCUUUGUUCCCUUGUCAAAGAUCAGUUAACUAUAUUAGUUAAGCUUUCUAUUCUGUUCCACUGAUUUAUUUUUCUAUUCUCCAGACAAUACCAUGCUGUCUUGAACACUGUAGCAUUAUAUGAUUUUUAUUCAUUUGAGAGAGCAAAUGAGAGCAUGAGCAGUGGGGAGCAGCAGAAGGAGAGGGAGAAGCAGACUCCUCGUUGAGCAGAGAGCCUGAUGCAGGACUUGAUCCCAAGACCGUGAGAUCAUGACGUGAGCUGAAAGCAGAUAUUUAACCAACUGAACCACUCAGGUACCCCAAAAUAGUGAGAUUCUUGGUAUUUUUUCAACUUUGAAAACUUCAAAUCUAUAGAGAACUUGCAAGAAUCGGUCAAUGAACAUUCAUAUAUCCUUCACUUAUAUUUACUAAUCAUUAACACCACAUUCUCUCUCUAUAUAUAGAGAUAUCUAUAUAUCUAUGUCUAUAUUUGUUUAUGUGUAUUUGAUAUAUGUAUACAUAUAUAUGAAAUAUAUAGAGAGAAAUAGAAAAGUAAGACACUGAAUGAUUUUUAUAAUAUUACAUGAAUUUUACAAAUGUUAAGUCAUUUUAUAGUCAGUUGAAGACAUCAUACUUUAUACUGCAAUACUUUAUGUAUCUUUUUCCCAAGAACAAAGACAUACUGUGAUGGUUAAUUUUUUGUGUCAGUUUGACAAGGCCAUGGAGUGACCACAUAUUUGGUUAAACAUUCUAGUAGUCUGUGAGGGAGUUUCUGAAUGAGUUAACAUUUGAAUUGAUAGACUGAGGACAGACGAUUGCUUUCACUAUUGUGGGUAGGCUUAUCUGAUCUUAUGUUAUUCCAAUCUUAAAGGUAAUGCAUAUGAAAUUUCUAUAUCAAGUGUAAUUUAUGCUAUAAUUUUUAAUAUAUAAUUUUUCAAGAAAAUAAAUAUUUCUAAGAAUUAUUUUUAAUCAGAAUUAUGUAUUUAACUUUACUGAAUGCUGUAGAGGGUUGAUCAGUGGCCCUUCAAAAGAUAUGUCCAUGUCCUAAUAAGUGUUCUCUCUGGAUGUUACCUUAUUUUGAAAAAAGACUCUGCAGAUGUAAUUAAUUAAUCACCUUAGAAUAUCCUGGGUUACAUAGGGGGACUCAAAAUUCAGUAGCAAGUGUCCUUACAAGACAGAAGAAAAUAUAGAAAAGAAGAGAGCCAUAUAAAGGUGGAGGGAGAUACUGGAGCAAUUGAGCCAAAAGGAAUGCCAGAAUAGAGCCACCAGGAGCUGGAAGAGGUAAGUAUGGAUUCUCCCUUAGAGACUCUAGAAGAAGUGAAACAUUGCUAACACCUUUAAUAUCACAGUGUGGCCUCUAGAACUGUGAGAUAAUAAAUUUCUGUUUUUUAAAGCAA